rnacentral:lncRNA from 1 species
UGUUGACCUAUACACUUAAAAAUAAAAAUACAUAAUCCAUCAUGCAAAUGAACAAUUAUUAAACGAUGUAUUGCAAAUAACUUACUAGUUCUUAUUGCACCUACAGGUAGGCUACACUCAAUGUGCGGUGCUGAUGAACAGCGUCAAACAAUGCCCCCCUCCCUCAAACACAAGAAUAACUUCUCCCGAGUUUUCACCCCCUCGCCUUGGACCAGUCCGAAACAGAACAUCAUGGCGAUUGAUGCAACAAGCUGUCUGUGGAGAGCACAAGCGACCUGUCAUGUCUGGACGACUAUAGGCCCGACCAGCAAGGUAAACACGUCAAGGUGUAUAACAUGCAAAGUCUGUAAACAGUUUGUUUAUUGUUCAA